UGGACAGCAUUUUUCUAUUGGUCGAUAAUUCCGUUAGUUACACACAUUAUUCAAUCAAAAGCAUUCUGCAAAGAAGGCGUAUCGAAAGGGUUCGGGGGUUUGUGGCUGAUGUCUGUGUGUAUCGUCUCAUGCAAGCGAGCACACGUGUUGAGGAACUCUCCGUUGGUGGUACCCCCUUGCCCAGUUUGUUCAACGACCCUUAUACCAGCCUUGUCCAUAGGCACAAAUUGAUGACACACCUGGAGUCACAUACACGCUUCUGACUCAACGAUGGACCUUCGGGGUUUCUGUUCCAUGGACUGUUUUUACAAAAGUUUCUGAGUUGACAUUCUUACAGAUUCAUGGAAGCAGUAGGUCAUUACUCUCCAAUUAUGGGAAGAGGUUGAAAACAUGAGCGGCCUGCAUCACAAAGCAGGAAUACUGAGUUAGCUGGAUAAUUGCGCUAAGUAAACUCAGAAACCUCCAAAAUAUAGAACAUGGAUUGAUGUUAAAAGCUGUUCCGAGUUUUGCUCACUGCAAUUAUCCAGAUAAUUAUGUAAUCCUGGUCUGUGAUACAGGCCAGUGGAGCAAUACUACUGUAAAGCUUGUUUUUCAGAACUAUUCUUAUGCUUUUUUUUUUUUUUUGACUAUUCUUUACAAUUUUAAGUUUUGCAAAUGUUUCAACAUUAAUGCUGAAACAUGAGUAGUGUUUGGCUGAUUACUAUAUUUGAUUGGUACGUGUUAGGCUGUAUCUUGUUCUUCAGGUGUAAGCUUACUUGACACCCUGAUGUUAGAUAGAAAAAGCAAAAUAUUACAGUAUUAUUUUAGACACAGCUUACUUCCAUCUUAACUCAGCAUGAUCCAUCUGUUCAACAUGGCAACUGAAACAUUGGGUGAUUUUGGAGCGCUAGGAAAUGUUAGAAGAGAUUGGAGAGAGUCUGAAGGCACCAAUCAUUGUGUUUUUAUCAUGAUGCCAAAACAAAAAGAUCUGUAAGAUGCGCCUCUAUCCAGGGGCCCUGGAACAAAUGACCUUGUUGGUUCCUCAGCAGUGUCAUUAUGGCCAGUGGGCUUACACAACACAUGUAAUACUUGCUGUUGCUAUGCUAGGGUACUGAGGUAUGUAAAUAUAAAUUAAUAUGAUAAGAAUCGUGGAAUAGGGCAUAAUACUUACAGAGAGUUGAGACUAACUAAACCAGUAGUAUACAUAUAUCAAAAUGAAACAUUGAGGUUAUUAAAUCUGUUGAAAUUAAUGAAAUACUGAUUUAAAAAUAUUAAGUCAUGAGGUCCUGGGUUUUCAUAAUGAUGAACAAAUGGAGGAUUUGUUUUUUCAUUCUGCCAUAAAUAGAUGGCCCAUCCUAUGCAUACUUAUACAGUUAUUAUUUAGUUCUCUUUUAGUAAUUCAUGCAACUAGUAUGUUAUGCAUAAUAGACACAGGUGUGAGCAAUAGGUGCAGGCUACAAUGCGUAUUCUAGGCAAUGAAUAAUAUUUGAUUAAUACUUAAGUUUCAAACAUCAGUUUGAUUUUAUCAGUAUCAUGAAACCAAAACCAAUCAUAAUUGGGAUAGCGGGUAUGCCAAGUUACAGCUUGGCGGGGCAUGCCCCUUACCUAUACAGCACAGCCUGUUUGGCACUUUUCAGGGUUUCCUACAGAAAUAACCAUAAUGACCACAGACUCUCAGCCUUAAAAAACUGUAACUUCUGUACCUUCUGACCUUAUGUAAACACACUGGAUUCAGAUACACAUGUACACAAUAAAGCCCCAAACCUGGGUUAUUUAGCAUU